rnacentral:rRNA from 1 species
UACGAACCGUCCAAACGUUACUCGGAAUCACUGGGCGUAAAGGGUGCGUAGGCGGGUCUUUAAGUCAGGGGUGAAAUCCUGGAGCUCAACUCCAGAACUGCCUUUGAUACUGAGGAUCUUGAGUUCGGGAGAGGUGAGUGGAACUGCGAGUGUAGAGGUGAAAUUCGUAGAUAUUCGCAAGAACACCAGUGGCGAAGGCGGCUCACUGGCCCGAUACUGACGCUGAGGCACGAAAGCGUGGGGAGCAAACAGG